UAGCCUAGUGGUUGAGGCUAUGGAUCGCCAAUCCGGAGACGACGGGUUCGAUUCCCGU
rfam:Aedes albopictus isolate Foshan contig126073, whole genome shotgun sequence.